CAAUGGCGUAUAUUAAAGUUGUUGCAGUUAAAAAGCUCGUAGUUGGAUUUCUGGUCGGAAGCUCCUGUCCUCUGAUGAGCGUACAAGUGCGUCCUACCAUCCUUCUGUUAACCUUUAAGGCUUUCGCGGCUUUCUAGGGGCUCAGAUAUUUUACCUUGAGAAAAUUAGAGUGUUUCAGGCAGGCUAGCGCCGGAAUACAUUAGCAUGGAAUAAUGGAAUAGGACUUUUGCCUCUUCUGUUGGUCAUGAGGCUCGAGUAAUGAUUAAUAGGGAUAGUUGGGGGCAUUAGUACUUAACUGUCAGAGGUGAAAUUCUCGGAUUUGUUAAAGACUAACUUAUGCGAAAGCAUUUGCCAAGGAUGUUUUCAUUAA
rnacentral:rRNA from 1 species